rnacentral:rRNA from 1 species
UACGUAGGGACCAAGCGUUGUUCGGAUUUACUGGGCGUAAAGGGCGCGUAGGCGGCGCGGUAAGUCACUUGUGAAAUCUCUGAGCUUAACUCAGAACGGCCAAGUGAUACUGCAGUGCUAGAGUGUGGAAGGGCAAUCGGAAUUCUUGGUGUAGCGGUGAAAUGCGUAGAUAUCAAGAGGAACACCUGAGGUGAAGAGGGUUGCUGGGCCAACACUGACGUGAUGCGCGAAAGCCAGGGGAGCAAACGGG